GAUGAACGCUGGCGGCGUGCUUAACACAUGCAAGUCGAACGAGAAAUGGAGACGGAACCCUUCGGGCGGAAGGCUUCAUUUCGAGUGGCGGACGGGUGAGUAACGCGUGGGUAACCUGCCUCAUACAGGGGGAUAACAGUUGGAAACGACUGUUAAUACCGCAUAAGACCACAGCACCGCAUGGUGCGGGGGUAAAAACUCCGGUGGUAUGAGAUGGACCCGCGUUCGAUUAGCCAGUUGGCGGGGUAACGGCCCACCAAAGCGACGAUCGAUAGCCGAUCUGAGAGGAUGACCGGCCACAUUGGGACUGAGACACGGCCCAAACUCCUACGGGAGGCAGCAGUGGGGAAUAUUGCACAAUGGGGGAAACCCUGAUGCAGCGACGCCGCGUGAGUGAAGAAGUACUUCGGUAUGUACAGCUCUAUCAGCAGGGAAGAAAAUGACGGUACCUGAGUAAGAAGCCCCGGCUAACUACGUG
rnacentral:rRNA from 1 species